rfam:Sus scrofa chromosome 3.
UCCCUGAUGGUCCAGUGGUUAGGACUCAGCACUUUCACUCUUGAGGCCCAGGUUCAAUCACUGGUCUGGGAA